CGCGUCUUANCAUGCAAGUCGAACGAUGAACCACUUUCGGUGGGGAUUAGUGGCGAACGGGUGAGUAACACGUUGGGCAAUCUGCCCUGCACUCUGGGACAAGCCCUGGAAACGGGGUCUAAUACCGGAUACUGACCCGCCUGGGCAUCCAGGCGGUUCGAAAGCUCCGGCGGUGCAGGAUGAGCCCGCGGCCUAUCAGCUUGUUGGUGAGGUAACGGCUCACCAAGGCGACGACGGGUAGCCGGCCUGAGAGGGCGACCGGCCACACUGGGACUGAGACACGGCCCAGACUCCUACGGGAGGCAGCAGA
rnacentral:rRNA from 1 species